rnacentral:rRNA from 1 species
AGCAGCCGCGGUAAUUCCAGCUCCAAUAGCGUAUAUUAAAGUUGUUGCAGUUAAAAAGCUCGUAGUUGAAUUUCGGGGUUAGUAGGUUGGUCAUGCCUCUGGUAUGUACUGGUCUCACUGAUUCCUCCCUCCUGAUGAACCGUAAUGCCAUUAAUUUGGUGUUGCGGGGAAUUUGGACUGUUACUUUGAAAAAAUUAGAGUGUUUAAAGCAAGCUAACGCUUGAAUACAUUAGCAUGGAAUAAUGAAAUAGGACGUUCGAUCCUAUUUUGUUGGUUUCUAGGAUUGACGUAAUGAUUAAUAGGGAUAGUUGGGGGCAUUAGUAUUCAAUUGUCAGAGGUGAAAUUCUUGGAUUUAUUGAAGACUAACUACUGCGAAAGCAUUUGCCAAGGAUGUUUCCAUUAAUCAAGAACGAAAGUUAGGGGAUCGAAGACGAUCAGAUACCGUCGUAGUCUUAACCAUAAACUAUGCCGACUAGGGAUCGGAUGAUGUUAAUUUUUAAUGACUCAUUCGGCGCCUUAC